UGAGGAAUAUUGGACAAUGGAGGCAACUCUGAUCCAGCCAUGCCGCGUGAAGGACUAAGGCCCUAUGGGUCGUAAACUUCUUUUGACGCAGGGCAAUAAGGAUUACGUGUAGUCUGAUGAGAGUAUGCGUCGAAUAAGCAUCGGCUAACUCCGUGCCAGCAGCCGCGGUAAUACGGAGGAUGCGAGCGUUAUCCGGAUUUAUUGGGUUUAAAGGGUGCGUAGGCCGGCUGUCAAGUCAGCGGUAAAAAUUCGGGGCUCAACCCGUAAAGCCGUUGAAACUGGCGGUCUUGAGUAGCGGCGAGGCAUGCGGAAUGCGAGGUGUAGCGGUGAAAUGCAUAGAUAUGACGCAGAACUCCGAUUGCGAAGGCAGCUUUCCAGCACGCCACUGACGCUGAGGCACGAAAGCGUG
rnacentral:rRNA from 1 species